AUUGAACGCUGGCGGCAGGCUUAACACAUGCAAGUCGAACGAGUGGCGGACGGGUGAGUAAUGCUUGGGAAUCUAGCUGAUGGAGGGGGAUAACUACGGGAAACUGUAGCUAAUAACGCGUACAAUAGGAUGCGCCCAAGUGGGAUGAGGUAGUUGGUGGGGUAAAGUCGCACCAAGCCGACGAUCUCUAGCUGGUCGGAGAGGAUGACCAGCCACACUGGAAAUGAGACACGGCCCAGCCUCCUACGGGAGGCAGCAGUGGGGAAUAUUGCGCAAUGGGGGCAACCUGACGCAGCCAUGCCGCGUGAAUGAAGAAGGCCUUCGUGUUGUAAAGUUCUUUCGGUAGCGAGGCGUUAGCUACAGAAGAAGCACCGGCUAACUCCGUGCCAGCAGCCGCGGUAAUAC
rnacentral:rRNA from 1 species